UGGAUUAGGCAUGCAAGUCGAACGGUCGCUUAGCUUUUUCGAGCGGCAGUGGCGAAAGGGUGAGUAACACGUGGGAUACGUACCCUUAGGCUCGGGAUAACCAGUGGAAAGAUUGGCUAAUACCGGAUGUUUUCAUCUAUUUUCGAAUAGGUGAGCAAAGAUAGGGACGUCUUUGGAGGCCUGUCACCUUUGGAUCGGCCCGCAGCCUAUCAGCUAGUUGGUGAGGUAAUGGCUCACCAAGGCUAAGACGGGUAGCUGGACUGAGAGGUUGGUCAGCCACACUGGAACUGAGACACUGUCCAGACAUCUACGGAUGGCAGCAGUCGAGAAUCUUUCGCAAUGGGGGAAACCCUGACGAAGCCACGCCGCGUGGAGGAUGAAGGUCUUCGGAUUGUAAACUCC
rnacentral:rRNA from 1 species